ACUGGGAUUAUAAUCAGACUCCACUGACACUGACAGAGCAGUCUGAGACUCUCCAGGCUGGACUGGACUGCAUUGAUAUACUGAACUGAACUGAAAACUUAGUCACAGCACUGUCCCUCAGGAAAGAUACAAAGAUAUUAAACCUCAAACAUUCAAUAAACAGUUUAUGCAGGAAAUUCUAUGAUAAAGAGGAGAUCAAAAAUGACAUUUCAGUAAUAAACAAACAUAAUAGGGCAGAAGACACAGAGAGAUAAUGCUCUCUAAUAAUGCUCCAUAUGUGAGUAUGUAAGUGUAUUACGAUGUGUCUAUUUUGUAAAUGUCUGUAGAUGUUGUGUUAAUUGUAUUGUUGUGUCAUCACCGAUUUAUUCAUUGGUCAUGCCAAUAUAGCAUCUUGAAUUGAAACUGAAAUUGAGAGAGAGGAGAUCACAACCCCUCAGUCAUAAACACACACAACAGGACAGGAGACACAGGGAGAGAGGAGAUCACAGAGAACCCCUCAGUAAUAAACACACAACAACAGGAGACACAGGGAGAGAGGAGAUCACAGAGAACCCCUCAGUCAUAAACACACAACAACAGGACAGGAGACACAGGGAGAGAGAGGAGAUCACACAGAACCCCUCAGUCAUAAACACACACAACAGGACAGGAGACACAGGGAGAGAGAGGAGAUCACAGAGAAGCCCUCAGUAAUCCUACCGGAGCGGAACUUGUUCCGGAUGAGCAGGGAUCUCUCGGACGCCAGGAGAGUCAUGACGGACAGGCCUUGAGGAAGAACGAGGAAGAGGCGCAGUCGGAAACUGUAGAAGGACAGUCCUGAGGAGACCCCGGAGGAGUCUGUCCAGGAGGGGGCGCUGUCUGUCUCUCUGCAGCUGUCAGUCUCUCCUUCGGGACAGAAGAGGUGGACAGUGAGUGAUGGACAAUAGGAGGUGGACAGAGAGAGAGGUGGACAGUGGGUGACGGACACUGAUGAUGAUGAAGAUGACGUACAGCAGCCCAGGGCCGGAGCUGUGUCAGACUGGGAUAUUCCCGAGUCUUCCUCAGGAGACACGCCAGGCUAUUCCUCAGUAAAGACUCCUGACUCUUCCUCAGUACAGCCUCCAGACUCUUCCUCAGUACAGACUCCUGAAUCUUCCUCAGGAGAGACGCCAGGCUCUUCCUCAGUACAGACUCCUGACUCUUCCUCAG
rnacentral:lncRNA from 1 species